rnacentral:lncRNA from 1 species
GUCAUUUGUAUUUUGACAGUAGCUUAAUAGUAAGAUUUACCAAGCACAUAAGACUGAUUUUAAAACUCACAAUACUUUUGAAGAUAAAUUUUACUAAACUUCUAAUCAAUUCUUUUCAUAGUUAAUUAUUUCUAUAGUACAAUUAACAAUAAUUAUUUUAAAAGUUACAAUAUUAUCAAUUUAUUUGUUAAUUAAUCUUCUAUCUUCAUUUCAUUUGUCACUGUACAGUGGAUUAUUUAUAAAUUUUUUAUUUUUAAAUAGAUUAGGUAGUUACGUGUUUAUAAAUUGAUUUCUACAUAUUAAACCUAUCUAAUUAAUUUAUUUAUCAAAAAAAAAAAUUGAUUUCUCAUCUAUCGUGGAAUUCUCUUUUGCUGCACCAAAUAACCCGAUUCGUGUGAAGGCAAGAAAAGUUAAUUAAGUCGAUGUCAUCAAGCUAAGUGAUUAGAAUAUAAUUGCAGAAUGACAGAAGGAUUACCAUAUUGAAGCAUUAGCUCGCCCAACUGAAAUGAUUGAUUUUGCAAACGAAACGACGGUGAGGCGUGUAACACGACACGCCCUGUGAUGAUUGUUGGAUGGUGAUGUACUGAUAUGCCGUGGCACCCACCAAGAAGAUGAUACAAUUUAGCCCACUAAGAGAUUCAAUCUCUUUGGCAUUUUGUCGACAUUAUUAUCAAUUUUUUUUUUAAAAAAAGGUUUCAUGAUAAUAAUAUUAUUCACUCAAUAAUUAACAUUAUGAAAGUUGUUUAUUCCACGAUAAUUUUAUUCUUAUUCUUUUGUCCUAAAUACAUGCUGAUUUUAAUGUGAAAAUGCGUCAUAUAAUCCAAUGAAUUUUGAGAAAAAUUCUAUGAUGUUGUAUGAAGCUUUAGAGUGAUAGUAAUGAACUUUUUUUUUUUUAAAUUGUCCAUUAAAUUUAAAGGUGAAGAUUUCCACCCUUUAUUUUAAUGAAUUAAAAAUAACAAGUUAUAUGGAUAAUAUGUAACUUCUUUGUCUUUUUAACUUUUAAAAGGAAAAUUAUUCCUUUAAUUAUUUGUAGCGAUCUUUUUAAAGUUUAUUGUAAAAAAGGAAACACUAAAGUCUGGUGAAGACUCUUUUUUAAAUUAAAAUAUAAUUAUUUUUAACCUUAAAAGAGUAUUUUUAAUUUGUACUCGCAUGUUGUUUUGCAUUGCUAUUCAAAGUUGAGUUCGAAUUGAAAGAAUUGUGAUUUUGCUUUUAUCUAACUAGAGAAAACUAAAAGAGUUGUG